GUGCCAGCCGCCGCGGUAAUACAGAGGUCUCAAGCGUUGUUCGGAUUCAUUGGGCGUAAAGGGUGCGUAGGUGGCUUGUUAAGUUGAAGGUGAAAUCUCGGAGCUCAACUCCGAAACUGCCUUCAAUACUGGCGAGCUCGAGGACUGUAGAGGAGAAUGGGAAUUCACGGUGUAGCAGUGAAAUGCGUAGAUAUCGUGAGGAAGACCAGUGGCGAAGGCGAUUCUCUGGGGCAGUUCCUGACACUGAGGCACGAAGGCCAGGGGAGCAAACGGGAUUAGAUACCCCGGUAGUCCUGGCAGUAAACGGUGCACGUUUGGUGUGGGGGGAUUCGACCCCCUCCGUGCCGGAGCUAACGCGUUAAACGUGCCGCCUGGGAAGUACGGUCGCAAGAUUAAAACUCAAAGAAAUUGACGGGGGCCCGCACAAGCGGUGGAGUAUGUGGCUUAAUUCGAUGCAACGCGAAGAACCUACCUGGCCUUGACAUGUAUCGUGACAAUCUGUGAAAGCAGGUGACUGCCCGCAAGGGUGAU
rnacentral:rRNA from 1 species